UCCGUUUGGUGGGUGGGGGAGUACGGCCGGCACGCCCGGGUAAUACCGCAUACGGUUGCCGAGGGGAGUCCCUUGGCAAAGAAACCUCCGGGGCACAGAGAGGGGCUCGCGGCCUAUCAGCUAGUUGGUGAGGUAAUGGCUCACCAAGGCGACGACGGGUAGCUGGUCUGAGAGGAUGGCCAGCCACAUUGGGACUGAGAUACGGCCCAG
rnacentral:rRNA from 1 species